UACGGAGGGGGCUAGCGUUGUUCGGAAUUACUGGGCGUAAAGCGCGCGUAGGCGGCUUUGUAAGUUAGAGGUGAAAGCCCGGAGCUCAACUCCGGAAUUGCCUUUAAGACUGCAUCGCUAGAAUCAUGGAGAGGUUAGUGGAAUUCCGAGUGUAGAGGUGAAAUUCGUAGAUAUUCGGAAGAACACCAGUGGCGAAGGCGACUAACUGGACAUGGAUUGACGCUGAGGUGCGGAAGCGUGGGGAGCAAACAGG
rnacentral:rRNA from 1 species